GCCAGCAUGGUAUAGUGGUUUCAGCAUUGGACUAGGACUCUAGAGACCAGAGUUCGAUUCCCAGCUUGGCC
rnacentral:tRNA from 1 species